UGCAAGUGAUGUUUUUUCUCACGAUGGUCUUCCAAGCCCUCCUGGCUCUGACGACUCUGCCUCAGGGCAGCAGCUGAUGCAGCUCG